GGAAGGUGCUGUUUAAGAGCCUAGGCGGUGGAAGAAGCACUUGCAGGUAUGCUACCGACCAGGCUCCUCAACAUCAAUCCGAGACGGAAGAUGAAACGGGAUGAAGCAGUUAGAUUGAGACAAGGCGGCCGGAAACUUUGAUGACCUCAAUGACACUGGCUAGGUGAAGGACAUCAACAAAAUGGCAUCAGGUCACCAGACAUCAGCUCAUAAUCCACAACGUCAUCAACCAUUUUGCGCCAAAAAUGAAGCCGUUCACAUACCAUGGCAUCCUAAGCAGGCAGCACUACACUACUGUGCAACAGUGAGAGAGAGCGGGCAAGGACAAGUAAAGCGGACCUACACUACAGCAAGACUUUGACACUUCUCCACGUUAGAGGCAGCCAUCACCCCCACCGUUGAGCAGCGGCUAUGUGUAACCCCCAAAAGAGGAGAUGAUCCGACGAUGUGUGUGUGGUGUGUGCGUGCGUGUGUGUGUGUGAUGUAUGAUAUUGUAACACUUCAGUCCUUCUUUUAUACUAUACAGUGUAUACAUAUACAUUUGUGGGUUUGUUUAAAAACCAUUGCUGAGGUUAAGAAAUGCAUUAUGACAAAUACAUCUGAUUCAGGUGUACUGUCUUUUAUUUGCCACAAAUAAAUCUCAUCCUGGAAACCUG